rnacentral:lncRNA from 1 species
UGCGCUCUGUAGGUUAGCUCCUCUCAUAUCUCUCCCUGGGAUAACUUGGUCUCUCAUCUCUCUUUGUGUGCGAUGGGAUUUUAUUAAUUGAUUUCUUUGAGUUUAGGAUCCAGGGACGAACCUGUAAGUGAUGUUGGAGUUGCCGAAGCAUUAGGUGAUCUGGUUGUGUGUGUUUGCAGGAUUUGUUUGAUGAGGGAAAGAUGACCAUGAAGGAUACACAGGGGAGUACGAGUGGUAAUGGCAGCAAGGUUACCAGUAGGUAUGCAUGCGAGAAGUGAUUGUGUUCCUCACAUGCUUCAUCCUCUCUAUGGUUUUGACGUCUGUACUGUGAUGCUACAGGCAGUUGACAUAAAUCUGCUUUUCAUUUGGGUUGUGAGUUGUGACAACUUGCUGUGCUGCGGUGUUCAGCUCAAAAUUGCUUUUGGGAAUGAUUCCUCUCAAUAGACUGCUUAUGCUUGACAUUGUACUUUCAUUAUUUCUAUUAGUAACUCAGAUUUUGGAUAUGGUACUUGACAAUAGUUAUGGUAUAGCGGAGUUAAAAUGUU